rnacentral:misc_RNA from 1 species
UUUUAUUUUCUUUUUUUAUUAUUUAUUUAAAGAGCAAAUUUUUCCUGUUCAGUUAAAAACAGUUGAGAGCUUCCUCUUUAAUUAAAUAGAGAAGAUAUCCUCUUUUAUUCUUUCUUUGAUUUUCGGCCAACAUAGGAGAUUGGCUACCUUUUCAUAUUUUUAUUUUAUUUUUUAAAAAUAUCUCCCCUAUUUUCUUCCUUUCUUAAUCUAAUUUUCCCUUAAGUGUAAAAGGAAGACUAGAUUCACUCUUUUUCUCCAUGGUUAGUCAAAAAUGAGCUUGGAGCAAGGUCUUAAUGGGCCUUCCCCUAGUUGGCACUCCCUAGGCUUGUUUUGGUUCAAUACAACCUUGGGUUGGGUCCAAUUGAAGCACAGGAGAUACAUGUCUUUGCUUAUGAGCCUCACUGCUCUUUC